rnacentral:rRNA from 1 species
UUGGAGGGCAGUCUGGUGCCAGCAGCCGCGGUAAUUCCAGCUCCAAUAGCGUAUAUUAAAGUUGUUGCAGUUAAAAAGCUCGUAGUUGAAUUUCGGGAUUGACACAUCGGUCGUGCCUUAAGGGGUAUGAACUGGUGUAGUCAGUUUCUCUUCUUCUGGAGAACCGCGAUGUCCUUAAUUGGGUGCCGCGAGGAACCAGGACCUUUACUUUGAAAAAAUUAGAGUGUUUAAAGCAGGCAUUUUGCUUGAAUACAUUAGCAUGGAAUAAUAAAAUAGGACGGAUGGUUCUAUUUUGUUGGUUUCUAGGAUCACCGUAAUGAUUAAUAGGGAUAGUUGGGGGCAUUAGUAUUCAAUUGUCAGAGGUGAAAUUCUUGGAUUUAUUGAAGACUAACUACUGCGAAAGCAUUUGCCAAGGAUGUUUUCAUUAAUCAAGAACGAAAGUUAGGGGAUCGAAGACGAUCAGAUACCGUCGUAGUCUUAACCAUAAACUAUGCCGACUAGGAAUCAGACGAUGUUAAUUUUUUAAUGACUCGUUCGGCGCCUUACGGGAAAC